rnacentral:tRNA from 1 species
GGGGGUGUAGCUCAGUGGGAGAGCGCUACCUUCGCAUGGUAGAAGUCGGCGGUUCAAAUCCGCUCACCUCCACCA